GACGAACGCUGGCGGCGUGCUUAACACAUGCAAGUCGAACGGAAAGGCGCUGCUUUUGCGGGUUGCUCGAGAGGCGAACGGGUGAGUAAAACGUGAGUAACCUGCCCUUGACUUUGGGAUAACUUCAGGAAACUGGGGCUAAUACAGGGUAGGAGCUCUUGCUGCAUGGUGGGGGUUGGAAAGUUUCGGCGGUUGGGGCUGGACUCGCGGCUUAUCAGCUUGUUGGUGGGGUAGUGGUUUACCAAGGUUUUGACGGGUAGCCGGCCUGAGAGGGUGACCGGCCACAUUGGGACUGCGAUACGGCCCAGACUCCUACGGUACGCAGUAGGGGGGAGUAUUGCGCAAUGGGCGGAAGCCUGAUGCGGCAACGCCGCGUGCGGGAUGCUGUCUUUCGGGUUGUAAACCGCUUUCGCCUGUGACGAAGCGUGAGUGACGGUAAUGGGUAAAGAAGCACCGGCUAACUACGUG
rnacentral:rRNA from 1 species